rnacentral:rRNA from 1 species
CCUACGGGUGGCAGCAGUGAAGAAUAUUGGUCAAUGGACGAGAGUCUGAACCAGCCAAGUAGCGUGAAGGAUGACUGCCCUAUGGGUUGUAAACUUCUUUUAUAUGGGAAUAAAACGUUCCACGUGUGGGAUUUUGUAUGUACCAUAUGAAUAAGGAUCGGCUAACUCCGUGCCAGCAGCCGCGGUAAUACGGAGGAUCCGAGCGUUAUCCGGAUUUAUUGGGUUUAAAGGGAGCGUAGGUGGAUUGUUAAGUCAGUUGUGAAAGUUUGCGGCUCAACCGUAAAAUUGCAGUUGAAACUGGCAGUCUUGAGUACAGUAGAGGUGGGCGGAAUUCGUGGUGUAGCGGUGAAAUGCUUAGAUAUCACGAAGAACUCCGAUUGCGAAGGCAGUUCACUGGACUGCAACUGACACUGAGGCUCGAAAGUGUGGGUAUCAAACAGGAUUAGAUACCCCAGUAGUC